rnacentral:rRNA from 1 species
CACCCGAUCCCAUCUCGAACUCGGAAGUGAAAACGCUCAGCGCCGAUGGUAGUGUGGGGUCUCCCCAUGUGAGAGUAGGACACCGCCAGGC